rnacentral:rRNA from 1 species
GACGAACGCUGGCGGCGUGCUUAACACAUGCAAGUCGAACGGAAAGGCGCUGCUUUUGCGGGGUGCUCGAGUGGCGAACGGGUGAGUAACACGUGAGUAACCUGCCCUUGAGUUUGGGAUAACUUCAGGAAAAUGGGGAUAAUACAGGAUAGGAGCUCCGGCUGCAUGGUGGGGGUUGGAAAGUUUCGGCGGUUGGGGAUGGACUCGCGGCUUAUCAGCUUGUUGGUGGGGUAGUGGCUUACCCAGGCAUUGACGGGUAGCCGGCCUGGGAGGGUGACCGGCCACAUUGGGACUGCGGUACGGCCCAGACUCCUACGGGAGGCAGCAGUGGGAAAUAUUGCACAAUGGGCGGAAGCCUGAUGCAGCAACGCCGCGUGCGGAAUGACGGCCUUCGGGUUGUAAACCGCUUUCGCCUGUGACGAAGCGUGAGUGACGGUAAUGGGUAAAGAAGCACCGGCUAACUACGUG